ensembl:lncRNA
CUGGACCUCUAACAGAUCUUUCUGUACAUUUAGUAUAUACGAUAGUAAUGACUCGGUAACAAUGAAAAACAUUUUAAUACAAAGAAGCGUCGUUCAAAUGCCAUUUUUUUGUGAACAGUGUCUUAUCAAUAUCAAGUUGUAUAUUUAUAUAUAUAACAGUAAAACUAUGACUAGUUAAACAAGGAAGGGACUGGCUCUACCCAGUAACACUACUCAUGUUUAGUUCUAUAUCGUUAAGGCAGACAGUUCAGACACCAUCCCAUUAGAAAAAACAUUCUGUUGUCACCACCAGUGUCCGUUUCCAGAAGUUCCAAAUGGCACCCUAUUCCCUCUAUAGUGCAUUAUAGGGGUCCUGGUCUAAAGCAGUGCACUAUAUAGGGAAUAGGGUGCCAUUUGGUAAAUAACCCAGGUCUUCGGACCAGGGUCGUGUUCAUUAGUACAUACACAUGAAAAACAUUUUAAAACACUAUGCAACAGAAAACACAAAUAUGCAUUUAUUAUUGUUUCAGUCCAUUUUCUUCCGUUUGGUACCAAUCCAGGUGUGUGUGUGUAUGUGUCGUGCUGUAACACGUUACUGUGUCUUUAAGGGCUUUAGCAGGAAGACCCACCCAGGCAAGGUCGGUGCAGCAGGUCGGUAACCAAGACGACACGAUGACACCAUCGCCACGGCAACUUGAUUCUACCUAAUAAGGUAACAGGAGACGUUGCAAUUAAAAAAUAAUAACACUUGUUCACUGUGGGAAGGAAAAAUCAUUUCCAGGACAGGAAGUCUGGUGUCAGAUGACGUUGGACAAAACAGGUGGUGGUAGAUAAAUAAGAAAUGGUUUUAUGCUAACUCACACAUUUGUAGACAAUAAGUAAAAAAACAUCAAAUAUCCACCACUAAAGCCUUAUCUAAUCAUGACAACUCCAACAGGAUGUACAGUGACUUGGAAAACCACAUGAAACAUUCACAAGUCUUUUCGCAUGUGUGUUUUACAGGAAGUGCUGAGCGAUUAGUGCUUUUUGAGGUCAGUUCAGUUUCAAUUAUAAUGGUUUUUUUUCUUUCAAUGAUUUAUUUAUUUUUUAACAUGAAAUGUAUUAUGAAAUAAUAACGGGCAAAUGAUUUGAGAGCUUUUUAACGCAAAUUCCAAAGCCAAAAAUAAUGAACAUUCAAUUGCCAAAACAUUUGAAAUAUUCCAUUGUCUCUGUCAGGUCCACAUUGGGUCGACAUCAAUAGAAACAGGAAAUUACUAUGAAAUAAUAAUAUAUUUCAGUUGUGUAUAUUGCUUCUUUUUUAUUUGAGGACUUUAUUAUUUUUAAAUCCUCAAAGUUAUCACCUCAUCUCUGAUCAGACAGUAAGUCAGCAGUCAGACCAUCUAACGUUAUGUUCCCCAAACUGUACUGUUUGUAGUCAUUUAACUAGGAUGCUGCAAAGCUGUCUGACUAAAAUAAUUUGACUAGUUCUUUAAAGUAGAUAAGGCAUACUUUCACAAACGGUCUCUGUCCCUCGUCGUCGUUGUGAACAUUCCUCUCACAUGCGGUCUGUGUGUAUGGAACGCAACAUAACGUAACAUAGUUGCAGGCGUAAAAAGGUAUCCACC